rnacentral:misc_RNA from 1 species
UUAAGUUCAGCGGGUAGUCCUACCUGAUUUGAGGUCAGAUUUCAAAGUGCUUCAAAAGCUUGACCGCCGACUCCAGAAUGGGGGCGGUCGUGGGAGGGCACAUUAAUGGGGGAACAUCUCGGGAUAAGAGCGAGGAUGGUACAACGCCCAACCGAGUUCGACCCGCAGGCCCAACCGAUGCAUUUGAGGGGAGCAGCCUC